rnacentral:rRNA from 1 species
GACGAACCGUGCGAACGUUAUUCGGAAUCACUGGGCUUAAAGGGCGCGUAGGCGGCUACGCACGUCCGUUGUGAAAUCGCUCGGCUCAACUGGGCGGGGUCAGCGGAUACGGUGUAGCUGGAGCAAGCUAGGGGGCAAUGGAAUUCCCGGUGUAGUGGUGGAAUGCGUAGAUAUCGGGAGGAACACCAGUGGCGAAGGCAGCUCGCUGGGACGGUACUGACGCUGAGACGCGAAAGCGUGGGGAGCAAACAGG